GACCGGAUGACGUGAGCUUGCUCCUUGAUUCAGCGACGGACGGGUGAGUCAUGCCUAGGUAUCUGCCUGGUAGUGGGGGACAACGUUUAGCAAUGUACGCUCAUACCGCAUACGUCGUACGGGAGAUAGCAGGGGACCUUAGGUCCUUGCGUUAUCAGAUGAGCAUAGGUCGGAUUAGUUAGUUGGUGGGGUAAUGGCUCAUCAAGGUGACGAUCCGUAAAUGGUUUGUGACGAUGAUCAGUCACACUGGCACUGAGACACGGUCCAGACUCAUACGGGAGGGAUGCAGUGGGGAAUAUUGGACAAUGGGCGAUAGCCUGAUCCAGCCAUGCGGUAGUGUGUGAAGAAGGUGUUCGGAAUCUCAAGCACUUUAAGUUGGGAGGAAGGCCAGUAUGAUCAUACCUCGGUUUUUUGGCGUUACCGACAUGAAUUAGCACCGGUCUAACUGUGUG
rnacentral:rRNA from 1 species